AUACGUAGGUGGCAAGCGUUGUCCGGAAUUAUUGGGCGUAAAGCGCGCGCAGGUGGUUAUGUAAGUCUGAUGUUAAAGCCCGGGGCUCAACCUCGGUCCGCAUUGGAAACUGUGUAACUUGAGUGCAGAAGAGGAAAGUGGUAUUCCACGUGUAGCGGUGAAAUGCGUAGAGAUGUGGAGGAACACCAGUGGCGAAGGCGACUUUCUGGUCUGUAACUGACGCUGAGGCGCGAAAGCGUGGGGAGCAAACAGGAUUAGAUACCCUGGUAGUCCACGCCGUAAACGAUGAGUGCUAGGUGUUGGGGGUUUCAAUACCCUCAGUGCCGCAGCUAACGCAAUAAGCACUCCGCCUGGGGAGUACGCUCGCAAGAGUGA
rnacentral:rRNA from 1 species